UUUCAGAUUGGAGACUGAAAAGAAGAGAAGUUAAGGAACUUGUCUAAGAUUAUCAAGCAAAAAUUUAAAGCUGAAGUUUCAAUAUUUUCUUAGAAAACAAGAAAAGUUAGUGAUCUCAUUAUAGAACGACUGUUACAGUGGCUUCAGCAGAAUCAGUGGUGGUGUCAACAGCAUCUGGAGCAGAGAGGGCAAGCUUAGUUCAUAUGAAGCAGCAAUAGCAACAGAAGAAAAGGCAGUGACAUCACCCUCAGCUUGUUGGAGGAGCCUAUGGGCCAGCUAAUGAAAAAUACAGGAGUCUGAAUAGCAGGG